GACGAACGCUGGCGGCGUGCUUAACACAUGCAAGUCGAACGGAAAGGCCCUGCUUUUGUGGGGUGCUCGAGUGGCGAACGGGUGAGUAACACGUGAGUAACCUGCCCUUGACUUUGGGAUAACUUCAGGAAACUGGGGCUAAUACCGGAUAGGAGCUCCUGCUGCAUGGUGGGGGUUGGAAAGUUUCGGCGGUUGGGGAUGGACUCGCGGCUUAUCAGCUUGUUGGUGGGGUAGUGGCUUACCAAGGCUUUGACGGGUAGCCGGCCUGAGAGGGUGACCGGGCACAUUGGGACUGGGAUUCGGCCCAGACUCCUACGGGAGGCAGCAGUGGGGAAUAUUGCACCAUGGGCGGAAGCCUGAUGCAGCAACGCCGCGUGCGGGAUGACGGCCUUCGGGUUGUAAACCGCUUUCGCCUGUGGCGAAGCGUGAGUGACGGUAAUGGGUAAAGAAGCACCGGCUAACUACGUGC
rnacentral:rRNA from 1 species